rnacentral:pre_miRNA from 1 species
GAUCUCUGAAUCCUGAAUUUGUUUGUGUGCUGGACAGAACCCAUCUCUAGCACCAUUUAAAUUCAGCAUUUCUGAGGU